CCAGGCCCUACGGGGUGCAGCAGGCGCGAAAACUUUACAAUGCUGGGAACAGCGAUAAGGGAACCUCGAGUGCCAGGUUACAAAUCUGGCUGUCGUGAUGCCUAAAAAGCAUUAUAUAGCAAGGGCCGGGCAAGACCGGUGCCAGCCGCCGCGGUAACACCGGCGGCUCGAGUGGUAACCGUUAUUAUUGGGUCUAAAGGGUCUGUAGCCGGCCGGAUAAGUCUCUUGGGAAAUCUGGCAGCUCAACUGUCAGGCUUUCAGGGGAUACUGUCUGGCUCGAGGCCGGGAGAGGUGAGAGGUACUUCAGGGGUAGGGGUGAAAUCUUGUAAUCCUUGAAGGACCACCAGUGGCGAAGGCGUCUCACCAGAACGGACCUGACGGCAAGGGACGAAAGCUAGGGGCACGAACCGGAUUAGAUACCCGGGUAGUCCUAGCCGUAAACGAUACUCGCUAGGUGUCGGCCACGGUGCGACCGUUGUCGGUGCCGUAGGGAAGCCGUGAAGCGAGCCACCUGGGAAGUACGGCCGCAAGGCUGAAACUUAAAGGAAUUGGCGGGGGAGCACAACAACGGGUGGAGCUUGCGGUUUAAUUGGAUUCAACGCCGGAAAUCUUACCGGGACCGACAGCAACAGAAGGCCAAGCGAAGAGUA
rnacentral:rRNA from 1 species